rnacentral:ncRNA from 2 species
CAUAUGUGAGCAUGUCGUGGUUCUUCGGGAAGGUUUGCCCGAAGCUAAGAGGGAAGCCGGUGAGGCGUUAAGCCAAGGCCGGAGCUGCCCCCGCAACUGUAAGCGGUGAGCCGCUGUCCAUUAAAGUCACUGAGACCUGCAAAGGUUUUGGGAAGGCCGGACAGCAGCAUUGACCCGCGAGCCAGGAGACCUGCCUCGACAACAUAAACGUC